UACGUAGGGUGCAAGCGUUGUCCGGAAUUAUUGGGCGUAAAGAGCUCGUAGGCGGUUUGUCGCGUCGAAUGUGAAAACCCGGGGCUCAACCCCGGGCCUGCAUUCGAUACGGGCAGACUAGAGUUCGGUAGGGGAGUCUGGAAUUCCUGGUGUAGCGGUGAAAUGCGCAGAUAUCAGGAGGAACACCGGUGGCGAAGGCGGGUCUCUGGGCAACAACUGACGCUGAGGAGCGAACGCGUGGGGAGCGAACAGG
rnacentral:rRNA from 1 species